UGGGGAAUUUUGGACAAUGGGCGAAAGCCUGAUCCAGCCAUGCCGCGUGCAGGAUGAAGGCCUUCGGGUUGUAAACUGCUUUUGUACGGAACGAAAAGACUCCUUCUAAUAAAGGGGGUCCAUGACGGUACCGUAAGAAUAAGCACCGGCUAACUACGUGCCAGCAGCCGCGGUAAUACGUAGGGUGCAAGCGUUAAUCGGAAUUACUGGGCGUAAAGCGUGCGCAGGCGGUUAUAUAAGACAGAUGUGAAAUCCCCGGGCUCAACCUGGGAACUGCAUUUGUGACUGUAUAGCUAGAGUACGGUAGAGGGGGAUGGAAUUCCGCGUGUAGCAGUGAAAUGCGUAGAUAUGCGGAGGAACACCGAUGGCGAAGGCAAUCCCCUGGACCUGUACUGACGCUCAUGCACGAAAGCGUGGGGAGCAAACAGGAUUAGAUACCCCUGUAGUCCCUGAGCGGGCUGGCAAGGCGCAU
rnacentral:rRNA from 1 species